rnacentral:piRNA from 1 species
UUGGUUGAGUGCUGUUGGCCCCAGUGCUGC